rnacentral:rRNA from 1 species
GACGAACGCUGGCGGCGUGCUUAACACAUGCAAGUCGAACGGAAAGGCCCUGCUUUUGUGGGGUGCUCGAGUGGCGCACGGGUGAGUAACACGUGAGUAACCUCCCCUUGACUUUGGGAUAACUUCAGGAAACUGGGGCUAAUACCUGAUAGGAGCUCCUGCUGCAUGGUGGGGGUUGGAAAGUUUCGGCGGUUGGGGAUGGACUCGCGGGUUAACAGCUUGUUGGUGGGGUAGUUGCUUACCAAGGCUUUGACGGCUAGCCGGCCUGAGAGGGUGACCGGCCGCAUUGGGACUGAGAUACGGCCCAGACGGCUACGGGAGGCAGCAGUGGGGAAUAUUAUACAAUGGGCGGAAGCCUGAUGCAGCAACGCCGCGUGCGGGAUGACGGACUUCGGGUUGUGAACCGCUUUGGCCUGUGACGAAGCGUGAGUGACGGUAAUGGGUAAAGAAGCACCGGCUAACUACGUG